CGCGACAUUGUUUACGAUUCGGCAGAUAUCUUAGGCCUUUUGUCCACGAUACUACAUAUAUAUAUAUAAAUGUACGGACAUCAACGUCCGAGACGUUCGUCCAUGCCAAACGGUAACGCGUACAGGAAACAUUUGUUCAAAAUGACUUUGACUUUAGCUAAAUUUUCAAAUUGGAAUUAGCUAAUGGUCGUUCGCUUUGUAAAUAAUUAUUUCUUUUUCUUCUUUUUGCCUGCAGAUUAAGCCCUCCCUGUUUGACGGUUUAAAUUUAUUAAAUUAAAUUUAUUAAACCGAAUAUAUAUAUAUUCGUUUGUACUACGAUUACUCUCAUACUCUAUGUAUGGUAUUAUCAUAUCGACGCUAUCAGUUCUUACAGUAUCACGAUCAGAGUCAAUUUUAGAAUAGAAGAAGCGAUUAACGGCGGAUCGCAAAGUAAGAAGCUUAUAACAUAAUUGGCAAGGAAGUCGGAUUUUCCGGAUUCACAGACACGAAGCUCGAAUUAUUCCUGAUCGACCACCACUUUUCGUUUUUCGGCUGAAACAUCACAUGCUGGCCAUUCGUCAGCGGCUGAACGAAGAACGAUCUCUGCCCGAUCAUCAUCAAGGCGUACACUUCUUCUUCGCAUAUCGUCACGACGACGAAGGAACUCGCGUCUCCUUCCAAGCUGCCUUGUCGAAGAUCGCAGUUCGCCUUGGCGUUACGUCGCUCGGACUUGGUUUUACCCUGGCGCACCCAAUUCACGGUGAAAUUCGACGACAGUAUCAAUCGAUCGUUGGCCAUGGUCCUUAAGGUCCAGUUGCUGAUCUCGAGGAACACCGGUUCUUGGUGGAGAUACUCGCGCCAAGUUUCUCGGUCUUCGUGGGUCGAUCUUCUGUUCCGCGCGCUCUCAUUCGGGAUCACUCGAGGGUAAACGAUCUCGUACUCCUGCAAGCUUUGCAGAAAGUCGCUCAUUCGCGACUUAGUAGCGAUCGUGCCGAGCAGCCACGUGG